UCCCAUUCUCCACGCAUUUGGACCUCGCUCUCUCCAUCUCUUGCGCACGAUGCUAUUGCUGUCGUUGAACAAAAAGGGUGCCCAAGCUUCUCUCCCUCAUGUAGUUCAGAUCAAACCCGGGGCAAGCUGGAAGAACAUGGAUUUGGUUAAUUGGUUUUCAGUUUGGUUCUCAAUUGAUAACUUAGAUACCGUUUGUGCUUGGUUUGCCCUUUUUUGCCUUUUGUUUUUGUUUUCAGGAAUGUACAUGACAGAUCAUGAUUGUCUGUUGGACUUGCAAAUGGAGAGUGAAGGGUUUGGGUUGCUCUUCUGCAGG
rnacentral:lncRNA from 1 species